UAGUUCUGCUGGAGUGGAGCUGAGAGAGGCUCUUGGGAGCUGCCUGCGUGGGCAGAGUUUGAAGGCUUAGGAUAUCUCCUGAAGGCCGGAUGGGCCAGUAGAGAUUAACGAGGCUUGAGCUGUCUUGAAAGAUGGCUGCCCUGAGAACUGGCUAGAAGAGGAGACCAAGGAGGCUGUGUGGGUCACCCUUGCAUUGGAGAUGAGGGGAGUCGUGAGAGAUCAGUGGGGAGCCCAUUGCCCUGUUGGGGAACUGCCUGGUGGAGCUUUCCCAGGGAUAUUUUAAAGAACCUACAUGGGAGAAAGCCUGCAUUUGGACAUCUUCCAGGCCAUUCAAUAGCCAAAGAGAACCACCAACAGCUUGAAUCAAAAAAAAGGCCCUCAAAAUAGGCUGAAUGAAAAGAGGUGUGAUCGAUGAAAACUGGCCGCUCCUUCUUUGCAACUCCUUCCAUUAGGUGGUGGAGUCUACGUUGCCCUCCCUUUGAUCCAGG
rnacentral:lncRNA from 1 species